CGUCUUCCUCCCUCACGAAGAAAGCGUGAGCUCCUUUUUCCUCUGCCUUGGACCACACCGCACCACCACCGAUCCCCACCUGCUUCCUCCCCUCCUUUUAAUCCCCAUCGAGCCCCCAAGAAACCCUAGCGCCCUCCCCUCUCUCCCUCUAGCCCGCCGCCAUCAACUCCCCCUUCGCCCUAUCUUCCUUUUCUCUUCUCUGUAAGCUCACGAAGAAACAACACCCCCACCAUAUCGCCAUGGCGCCGCAGCUACAGUCCACCCCGCGUCUAUCCGUGAGUACCAGAAGAUGCGCCUUGUCUUCCUCUUCAUCCUCCCCAAAGGAAUCGACCGGGGGCUCGCUACUUCACCGGCAAAUUCGCCGUUUCUUCUUCAACUCCGGCGACUGUAUUCUUCAAUUCCGGCCGCCCUCGACCUCCUCCGGCCAAACUGAGCACACCUCUGGCUUCCCCAAGCCAGGGCGCAUCCUCGACGCCCUUGUUUUCGUCCCGUCUCCGUCAUCCCCGAGCACGCCUGCAAGUAUCCGCCAUGGUUUCUUCUGUCCCCGAGCUCCUCCGUGGUCGGCUCUAAUAGGGCGCGAUUCUGGUCUUCUUCAACAUCUACACAUCAGCGCAGUGAUCUCGUGGGCAGAGAUGCUUCAUCAGGCAUGGAGCCUUUUCCAAACCAACAUCAUCAGCCUAGCCCAGCUGAUCUUCCGCAGAUGGGCCUCGGCCCAGAUCUAUCCGGCGUAGCUCCUUGCCCGAGCGGUCCGUAGCUUCCCGUCGCCGCGUGCACGCCAGAAGUGGGCCGGCCCGCGCGCGCGAACCUUCCUCCCGCCGGCCAGCAUUUGCUUCUUCCCGGAUAGGAUCGCGAAGUGGUGUUGUGAGAUACGACAAGUUCUCCGGAUGUCCCUCGGCAAGCUUUAACAGGCAAGCAUUUUCCCCUAUACUUCUGCCCCUGCAGAAGUCGCUCACCUAUUUUAUUUUGCCUUCUCCCUCAUGCUAUCCUUAAGUUGCGUUCUUGUCACGUGUCCUUUCCACUUGUUACCUCAAGCAGCCCAUAUUGCCACCACCACCUCCUACGGCUAUUGUUUGGUUAUCGAGUCUGCCCUUGCGAGUCGUAGUGCAUGCUAGUGCUGUUAUAUCUUGUUACCGUUGUUGAUAUCUUAUUGGGUUAUAUGUUGGGAAGAAUCAUGGUUACUUUAGUUGUUGAUGUUUGUUUAGUGGAGGCAUCGGUGGGUCAGCUGCUCGUUUUGUGAUGGCUCACUUGUGUUUCCUAAAUAUUUUAGGACCCCGAGUUCUUGUUAUCUGUUCCGAGACUGAGCGCUCUAACCACACGUGGGUAUGCUUACCGGGUCUCCCCUCGACCACUGCCGGAAUCUACAGCUUUGUCCAGUGGCCACAACUAGUUUGAAUGUUUGUUUUGUUUCUCCCGAGCGUGCAAGCAUGUUUCUUUGUGGUCAGAUGAUAUGAUGUUACUUUUGGGGAAGCCGUGAGUGCCUUGUAACCCCGUUGUCUCUUGCACGCUCGUAGGAUGCGGUACGUAUUGUUAAGAGGUCAUCCUCUAGUGGGCUCUGAUCCUCUUAGCCGUAGACGCAAACAGCUAAGUCCGCUUCGGAGCACGGCCGGACUUCGACACGGGUUAACUUAGUUAGGUGGCUUCCUGGACAUUGUUGUAGUGAAGGAGAGUGCGUGUCGUGAUAUCCACCUGUCGUAAGUGGGUUGAGCGUGCGUGUGGGCACAUUUGGGCACCCCUGCAGGGUUACAAUCUUAUCGAUAAGCCGUGUCCGCGGUUAUGGACGACUUGGAGCUGUAUGACUCGACCAUAGACAACUUACACUUGUUGCUUCAAUCAUAAUAACUGGUGUAGUAAGUUAGCACAACUUCAAUAAUAAAUGGUUAAAACUUGACAACCGUGUGAGUGCCUUUGUUAGUACUUCUUGGCGAAGGGGGAACACAUUGGCUGUGUUUUGUUUGCAUAGUAUAGAACUGUUAGUUACGCUCUCUCACCUUCUCUGAUUAGACGACUGUUGUAGAGUGUCUCUAUAGGUUUUUAGUGCUUGCGCUGCCGCUUAACUCCACCAU